rnacentral:rRNA from 1 species
AACUCCGCGAAAGCGGGGCUAAGACCGCGUACGCUCGGGCUGGGGAGAUCGGCUCGAGGAAAACCGCAAGGUGCUGAAGGAGGGGCUUCCGGCCCAUCAGGUAGUUGGUGAGGUAAGAGCCCACCAAGCCGAUGACGGGUCGCUGGUCUCAGAGGAUGAUCAGCCAGACUGGGACUGAGACACGGCCCAGACUCCUACGGGAGGCAGCAGCUAGGAAUCUUGCGCAAUGGGCGAAAGCCUGACGCAGCGACGCCGCGUGAGGGAUGACGGCCUUCGGGUUGUAAACCUCUUUCAGCAGGGACGAAGCGAAAGUGACGGUACCUGCAGAAGAAGCACCGGCCAACUACGUG